rnacentral:rRNA from 1 species
UACGUAGGGUGCAAGCGUUAAUCGGAAUUACUGGGCGUAAAGCGUGCGCAGGCGGUUCGUUGUGUCGGUGGUGAAAGCCCCGGGCUUAACCUGGGAAUGGCCAUGGAAACUGGCGAACUGGAGUGUGGCAGAGGGGGGUGGAAUUCCGCGUGUAGCAGUGAAAUGCGUAGAGAUGCGGAGGAACACCCGAUGGCGAAGGCAGCCCCCUGGGCUAGCACUGACGCCUCAGGCACGAAAGCGUGGGGAGCAAACAGG